GAUUCCUACGGGAGGCAGCAGUGGGGAAUAUUGGGCAAUGGGCGCAAGCCUGACCCAGCAAUUCCGCGUGGGUGAAGAAGGUCUUCGGAUUGUAAAGCCCUUUCGGCGGGGACGAUGGUGACGGUACCCGCAGAAGAAGCCCCGGCUAACUUCGUGCCAGCAGCCGCGGUAAUACGAAGGGGGCUAGCGUUGCUCGGAAUCAUUGGGCGUAAAGGGCGCGUAGGCGGUUACGAAAGUCAGGCGUGAAAGUUCACGGCUCAACUGUGGCAGUGCGUCUGAUACUUCGUUGACUUGAGGUCGGUAGAGGCAGAUGGAACAAGCGGUGUAGCGGUGAAAUGCACAGAUAUCGCUUGGAACGCCGGUGGCGAAGGCGAUCUGCUGGGCCGUACCUGACGCUGAUGCGCGAAAGCUAGGGGAGCGAACCGGAUUAGAUACCCGGGUAGUCCUAGCCGUAAACGAUGAACACUAGGUGUGGGGGGAGUCGAAUCCCUCUGUGCCGCAGCCAACGCGAUAAGUGUUCCGCCUGGGGAGUACGGCCGCAAGGCUAAAACUCAAAGGAAUUGACGGA
rnacentral:rRNA from 1 species